rnacentral:lncRNA from 1 species
UUUUUGUAUUCCUCCAACUUGCCUCUUAAACAUCAGAACAUAUCCAGCCCCUUCUCUUAACUUCGAACCCUAACCUCUUGCGCCAGUCAAUCCGGGAAGGCUUUCCGUCAUGGCUCCGGCAAAAACUAUCGUAUUUCUUCUCCAGUACACAUCCCAACUGACACACAACCUAGGGUAAGUAAUUUAACAGUAGCAACAAAGAGUCACAAAUCUUGCUCCUCUAUAUUCUUACCAACUGAUGUGAGACACCACAAAGUUCCAUAUGUUUGGUAAGUUAACAAUAUUUUUUACAUUUUUUUUCCUCUGCAAUUUUAUUUGUAAAUGGGUGAAUAAAAUUACUUGGUUAAUACCUAAUUUGGUACCCUAAAUGUGUUGGUGAAAAAUGAGUUGGGGUUUUUCUUGUGAGUCAUUUGAUUUGGGUUUCAUGAGAUGUACUCCAAGUGAAGUCAUACACUUUAUUUGUGAGGUUGUGUGCUUGAUUAAUUUUCACUAUUACUUAAUUAUUGGCACUACCUAGGACUGAAAUGUUUGUGGCAUGUUAAAUUGGAUUUUCCAGAAUUUUCUAGGGAAAUCAGUUCUAGAUAUGUUUUAAACAGUAUUUGAAUUUCCGUGCUCAGAAGGUGUUUGAAAAUAUUUCACAAUGAACACCUUUGAGUGUCCCAAACAAAUAAAGUUGCAAUUGACUGGAAAGCCUAAUUGCAUAUCAGCAUGAUCUUUUUGUUUAGUCAUACAUAAGGCCAAAACAUAAAAAUAAGAUUUUUGGAACCGGAAGAUUCUACUUUAAUAGUAAUGUUUGUGUUAAACUUAUCAUAGUGCUAAACAUUAUAAUAUUAACUUCCAAAUAUUUUACUGGUACUAACUUUUAAAAGAAACCAAUUAAUAUAUUUAGUUACUAUUCGAACAAUGUUACUUUAUUUAUCAUCUUGGUUAAGCAAUUUUAUAGAUGGUGUGAGAAUAUUUAAGAGAAAUGUCAUGUAUACUUUUAUAAUAGUAUUUGUGUGGCAUAUACAGUUACUUACCUUUUGGAGGUGCAUGUCAAAUAAGAUGUGGUUUGCAUUGGACAAUAAGAUGUUACUAUUUGCUUCCUUAAAAUGAAUAAUAUUUUUAUUAUGUAUAAGAAAAUAGUUCCUCGAGUUUUGAUUGAAUUGCGCUUGCCUUCUCUCAUUUGUAUAAAAAUUGGAAGAGAUAAAUAUUCAUGCAUUAUUAAAAACAAGCAUCAACUAAAUAAUUAAUCUGGUAGAUUACUUAAGCAACAGCAUGAUUUAGUAGCUAUUGUUGAUGAAGAAGAUGUUUCAAAGCUUACUGUGUUGUACAUGAAUAUGAUAGCAUGGGUCAGCUAGUAAGUUUUCGUUUUCUUCACUUUUUCUAUCUGUGGUAUCCCAGCUUCUAUUGCUUUCUUUAGUUAUCUCUAUAUGUCACUAUUAGUGACUUUGGUCUAUUGCUUUGUCCAUUUCACUUAUUAGUUAGUCCUAAAUUGAUUUUCUGCUAAAACGUUUUGACCCGUCAUAUGUCCGUCAAUGCGUCCAUCGCCACAGAAAAUACGAAUGGGCUAAGGGCUGAUACUCCUCACCCUCCCUUUCACCACCCUCUCCCAAACUUUCAUCGUAUUACUAAAUAGCUUGAUGCCCCUAUAAUUAUUGCAAUUCUAUAUAUUACCCUUAUUCUUGUACACCGGAAUCAUUGUACUCCACUUCCACUCCUCAAACAUUUUCAUCGUCCUAAUAAACAGCCUAGAGAGCCAUUCCAAGCGGGCCUUACUCGCGUUCUUCCAUAAUUCUACAAGGAUUUCGUCUGGACCUGUCACUAGCCCUGCUCAUCCUAAGCAUCGUCCCCUCGACUUCUUCCACUCUCAUGCGACCACAGAACCCAAAAUCUCGAUGAUUCCCAAAGUGCUUCAAAUCCUACAACAAAAUGUUCCUACCUCCCCCGUCAUUCAAGAGUUUAUGGAAGUAUGACUACCAUCUCUGCCUGAUUUGCGCCUCAUACAUCAAAACUCUACCUUCCUCGUCUUUUAUGAACUUCACUUGAUCCAGAUCAAAUGCCUUUCUUUCUCUCACUUUUGCCAGCCUGUAAAGCUUCUUAUCCCCACCUUUAUCCCCGCCUUUAUCCCCAAUCUCCUCAUACAAACGUCCAAAAGCCGUAGUUUUAGCCUCAGUAAUCGCUAACUUCGCCCCCUUCUUAGCCUUCUUAUACUACUCCCUGUUAGCCCUCAUCUCCACCUUAUCUACGCUCUUGACUAGCUUCAAAUACGCCGUUUUCUUGGUUUUCACUUUCUCUUGGACCUCUUCAUUCCACCACCAGUCCCCUUUAUGGCCACCAACGAACCCUUUCGAGACCCCUAACACCUCUCUCACAGCUUUUCUAAUACAAUUCGGAAUCAUGGUCCACAUACAACUCGCGUACCCACUACUCCUCCAGGCCCCAAUAACUAGUAGCUUCUCCCCCAACUAUUGGGUUUUGUCCUUAGUCAAGGCACCCCACCAGAUCCAACGUAGAAAACCCAUAACUGUAUUAUUCCUUAUCCGCAUGAUCGCUAAUUCCAUAACCAAUAGCCUACGCUGGGUCGUGAGAAUCUUGCUCAGGAUGAUCUUGUAAUCCGUGCAUAAACCACUAUUGCACCUCCUGAGUAGUAGAUAAUCAAUUUCGGUCUUGGCCACCGUACUUUGGAAGGUGACCAAGUGCUCCUCCUUCUUCUGAAAACAUGAGUUAGCAAUCACCAAGUCAAAUGCUUUAGCAUAAUCUAACAGUGAAGUACCUCUUCCGUUUUUGACACAAAAAUUGAAGACGCCAUGUACCCCGUCAUAACCCCCAGACGACGUCCCAAUAUGGUCAUUGAAAUCUCCUCCUAUGAUAAUUUUAUCGAUGUGCGGAAUUCCCCGCACCAACCCAUCUAAGUCAUCCCAGAAGUGCCUUUUCACCUUCUCAUCCAAACCCACCUGAGGCGCGUAGGCGCUUAUUAUGUUGAAGGUACAUCCUCCCACAACUAUCUUAGUUGACAUCAACCUGUCAUUCACUCUCUUAACCUCUACCAAUAGCUCUCUAAGUUCCCUAUCGACUAAGAUGCUUCCCCCAUUCUUCCCCUUCAUCCCCCCGAAUACCACAACUUAUAUCCAUCAGCAUCGCGUGCCUUAGUCCCUACCCAGCUAGUCUCCUGGACACAUGCUAUAUUGAUCUUUCUCUUCUGGAGAAUCUUCGCUAAUUCUAUGGACUUUCCCGUCAAUGUCCCUAUAUUCCAGGAUCCAAAUCACAUCGUAGAGGUUUCCUUACCCCCUUACUACCCUUGGCCCUCACCCCCCGCCCCACCCGAGGACAUGACCUUACUCUAUCAUUGUUCACCACAACCACUAUAGUAUAAGGUAUAAUAAUCAAUUCAAAUUAAUGCAAUAUUCCUAGUCACAACACAAGGCAACAAAAUCGUAAGUGCUACGUUAGUAUAACACUGGGGGAGAAAUUCCUAAAAUCAAGGGACAUAGCAAGAAUGGGGAAACAAGUCAAAGCUAUUAGACUCCGAAUAACGAGUAUAAACGAUGAAUAACAGAUCGAGGAUGCUACUCAAUCACACAAAAACGAGUAACUAAGUGUACAACCACAUAAACCAAAAAACAAAUCGAUAGGUAGUAAAAGAAUUAAAGCAACAAGAGGUAUAACAAUAUAGCUCAAUACUAGAAUUAAAAAAAAUACCAAUUCAAGAAAUUUAGAACCUGGAAUCAAGUUGGGGUUGUCUGAAUAGUGACACCACCAGUCACUAGCAUGUGCACUCUACUCGCCGCCGGAUGUACGCCGAAAAUUGAUACUCUAUGCAGAUUUGGUCUGGCCAACACGUACUCCGACAGAGUGAAUGGAGGCAGAUCUUAACCAGGAAAGGGUUAGAGAGAGACGGAAGGAGAGAGAGAUACAUGGGAGAAAAAGGGAUGAAAAGCAAGGGGGAGAACGAGAGAGGGAAAAGAAAGAAGGAUUAAGGGGUGAUAUACUUACUUGGUCGCCAGGGACCUGCACUCUGGUUGGAGGGGAAAAGACCGUACAGGUAGGCCCAAACCCGGAUGAGCCCAACUAAACCCAAAAAAUCCUUCUUCUGAAAACAUGAGUUAGCAAUCAUCAAAUCAAAUGCUUUAGCAUAAUCUAAUAGCGAAGUGCCUCCUUCGUUUCUGACACAAAAAUCGAAGCCAUCAUGUACCCCGUCAUAAUCCCCAGACGACGUCCCAAUAUGGCCAUUGAAAUUUCCUUUUAUGAUAAGUUUCUUGAUCUGCAAAAUUCCCCUCACCAACCCAUCUUAGUCAUCCCAGAAGCACCUUUUAAGCUCCUCGUCCAACCCACCUGAGGCGCAUAGGCACUAAUUAUGUUAAAGGUACAUCCUCCCACAACUAUCUUAAUAGCCAUCAACCUGUCAAUCACCCUCAUAACCUGUACCACUAGCUCUCUAAGUUCCCUAUCGACUAAAAUGCCUACCCCAUUCUUCCCCUUCAUCCCUUCGAGUACCACAACCUAUACCCCACAUGCCUUAGUCCCUACCUAUCUAGUCUCCUGGAUACAGGCUAUGUUGAUAUUCCUCUACUGGAGAAUCUUCGCUAAUUCUAUGGACUUCCCCGUCGAUGUCCCUAUAUUCCAUGAUCCAAAUCGCAGCCUAGAGGUUCCCUUACCCCCUUACUACCUUUGGCUCCAAUCCCCCGCCCUACCUGAGGACUUUACGUUACUCUAGCAUUGCUCACCACAGCCACUAUAGUCUAAGGGAUAAUAAUCAAUUCAAAUUAAUGCAAUAUUCCUAGUCACAACAUAAGGAAACAAAAUCAGAAGAGCUACAAUAGUAAACCACUAGGGGGAAAAUUUCCUAAAAUCAAGGGACACAACAAGAGUUGGGAAACAAGUCAAAGCGAUUAAACUCCGAAUAACCAGUAUAAAUGAUGAAUAACAAAUCAAUGAUGCUACACAAUCACGCAAAAAUAAGUAACCAAGUAAGAGUAAAAAAAAAUAAAAAAAGUGACAUGCAGUAAAAGAAUUAAAGCAACAAGAGAUAUAACAAUAUAGCUCAAUACCAGAAUUUGAAAAAUACCAAUUCAAGAAAUUUAGAACGUGGAAUCAAGUCGGGGUUGUUUGAACAGUGAUGCCUCCAGUCAUCGGCGCGUGCGCUCCACUUGCCGCCGAAUGUCGUCGAAAAUCGGUACUCUAUGAAAAUCGGGUCCUGUCGGCGCGUACCCUGACAGAGCGAACAUAGGCAAAUCUUGACUAGGAAAGGGAUAUAGAGAGACGGAAGGAGAGAGAUAUACAAGAAAGAAAAAGGGACGAAAAACAAGGUGGGAGAUCGAGAGAGGGAAAGGAAGGAAUGAUUAAUGGGUGAUAUACUUACUUUGUCGCCGGGGACCUGCACUCCGGUUGGAGGGGAAAGGACCGUACAAGUAGGCCUGAACCCGGACGUGCCCAACUAAACCCAAAAAAUCCUUCUUCUGAAAACACGAGUUAGCAAUCACCAACUCAAAUGCUUUAGCAUUAUCUAACAGCGAAGUACCCCCUCUGUUUCUGACACCAAAAUCGAAGCCGUCAUAUACCCCGUCAUAAUCCCCAGAUGACGUCCCAAUAUGGCCAUUGAAAUCUCCUUCUAUGAUAAGUUUCUCGAUAUGCGAAAUUCGCCGCACCAACCCAUCUAAGUCAUGCCAGAAGCGCCUCAUCCAAACCCACAUAAGGAACAGAGGCGGAUCUUGACUAGGAAAGAGAUAGAGAGAGAUGGGAGGAGAGAGAGAUACAGGGGAUAAAAAGGGACAAAAAGCAAGGGGGGAGAACGAGAGAGGGAAAGGAAAGACGGAUUAAGGGGUGAUAUACUUACCUGGUCGACGAGGACCUGCACUCCGAUUGGAGGGGAAAUGAGCAUAUAGGUAGGCCUGAACCCAAACGGGCCUAACUAAACCCAAAAUAUCCCAACCCACUAACAGCCCGAUCCCCCAGCCUACUAACUAGCCCGCACCCUUAACUGGACGGUUGUUUUUUCCCCACCCAGCCUGGUCUAGCCCGUUCGGUAAAUACAUAUACUCUCAACAAUAAAUAAGAAAAAUAAGAAAUGGUCUUUCACAUGAAUGUGGACCACUUAAAUGAAGAAGUAACUUACAACUUUACCAUGGAAAUUCCACCAGCUUAGAUCAAGUGAAACAUGAAAAGAAAGGUUGCCGAGUUGUGGUGGGAUUGUACUAGUUAAGCCCAUGUCCAAAAUAUUCAAUGAAAUAACUCUUUGAUGACGAAAGCCACAAGUGAUUCUGAUCCAAUUACAAACUGAGGUUGAAGAAGACUAGUUUGUUAAAAGAAUUUGAUAAGGUUCUAAAGUGAUGUGGGCUUUCAAGGCAAAAAUGCUAGAAGCUGAAAAGAGGAGGCUAUCUCCAUUAUUGAUAUCCUUAUUUCCCUUGACUACCAUGAAAGAAAAUGCAUUUGUGGUUUUCAAUAUAGAUAGAGAGAAUAAUGGAAUAAGAGUUGGCUCUCUAGGUCAUCCACUUUCAUGAUUUUGGAAUUUGGAAUUGAUAAAGUCAAGUCGCAUGACUCGAAAUUUACAACCAAAUUUCCAUGUUGCUUUGCUCCACUUGCCCUAUUUUGUUAAUAUAACACCCACCACUUCCCAUUUCCUUAGCAUACUUUGUUGCUUAUUUUGGUUGCAAUUGUGCAACUAUAAAAAUCAGUUGUAUCCAUAAAAAGUGUCUACUCUUGAUUUUCUCUUGGUUAAUUUACUUCUUGACUUUUAAUGUUGGGUAUAUGUUUCUUCUCUUAACAUUUUAAUAAUUUAAGUGAUAUUUUUAGACAAAGAUGAGUACCUGGUGAGACAAUCAGAUUCUAAGCCCCUUACUAAUAGCCCAAUUUAACGAUCCGACCAGUCGUUUUGAACUUUUGCAUUUCAUUUGGUGGUUUGAGACUUUGAGUAGCUUCAUAUUAUGUAUUAUAACUUGUGUGUAUGGUUGGUUUCAGUUUUCGAGCGGUUCGGGAA